GCUCCGUUAGCUCAGUGGUAGAGCGCUCCCCCGACACGGGAGAGGUCCGGCGUUCGAACCGCCGACGGAGCA
rnacentral:tRNA from 1 species